UCUCCGUUGGUGAACCAGCGGAGGGAUCAUUACCGAGUUUACAACUCCCAAACCCAAUGUGAACGUUACCAAACUGUUGCCUCGGCGGGAUCUCUGCCCCGGGUGCGUCGCAGCCCCGGACCAAGGCGCCCGCCGGAGGACCAACCAAAACUCUUUUUGUAUACCCCCUCGCGGGUUUUUUUAUAAUCUGAGCCUUCUCGGCGCCUCUCGUAGGCGUUUCGAAAAUGAAUCAAAACUUUCAACAACGGAUCUCUUGGUUCUGGCAUCGAUGAAGAACGCAGCGAAAUGCGAUAAGUAAUGUGAAUUGCAGAAUUCAGUGAAUCAUCGAAUCUUUGAACGCACAUUGCGCCCGCCAGUAUUCUGGCGGGCAUGCCUGUCCGAGCGUCAUUUCAACCCUCGAACCCCUCCGGGGGGUCGGCGUUGGGGAUCGGCCCUGCCUCUUGGCGGUGGCCGUCUCCGAAAUACAGUGGCGGUCUCGCCGCAGCCUCUCCUGCGCAGUAGUUUGCACACUCGCAUCGGGAGCGCGGCGCGUCCACAGCCGUUAAACACCCAACUUCUGAAAUGUUGACCUCGGAUCAGGUAGGAAUACCCGCUGAACUUAA
rnacentral:rRNA from 2 species